GCCGAGGUAGCUCAGGUGGUAGAGCAGUGGAUUGAAAAUCCACGUGUCGGGAGUUCGACUCUGCCCCUCGGCACCA
rnacentral:tRNA from 1 species